AUCCAGCUUACGAGUCCUAAAUAUGACGAAACGUGCGUCCUAUAU
rnacentral:hammerhead_ribozyme from 1 species